AUGGGCGUCGAGGAGGCUGCCCGUGGCUUUCGCGGCAACAAGCUCGCGCUCGCCAGCAUCGGCUUCGCCGAAGCCCGCGGCGCCGGCGCGUUCAAGGACGACGGUCUGCUUGGAGUGCGGCUCCCCAAGCCCAAGGACGUCUACCUCGACUGGGACGUAGCAGUCAGGCUCAGCCCGCCGGACGUCGGCGCCGCCGUCAGGACUUUGCUGAGGCGUCGAGAAAUUGCAGAAUUCGUUAGCGGGGCAAUGGCUGGUGCUAUGACUAAAGCCGUUCUUGCUCCUCUAGAAACUAUCAGGACAAGAAUGGUUGUCGGUGUAGGGUCAAAACAGAUUUUCGGCAGUUUCAUGGAGAUCAUGGAACACAAUGGCUGGCAAGGACUUUGGGCAGGCAAUACAAUUAACAUAAUCCGCAUUAUUCCUACUCAAGCAAUUGAGCUCGGCACGUUCGAGUGCGUCAAACGGAGCAUGACGUCGGCACAAGAGAGGUGGAAAGAGGAUGGGUGCCCAAAGAUACAGCUCGGUGGUUUGACGAUCGAGCUACCUCUUCACCUACUAUCUCCAAUCGCCAUUGGAGGCGCGGCAGCUGGAAUAGUCAGCACUUUAGUGUGCCACCCCCUUGAGGUUCUCAAGGAUCGCCUGACUGUUAACCACGAGGCGUAUCCCAGUAGCAUCGCCCUUGCGUUCAACAAGAUCUACAGAACGGAAGGCGUCGGCGGUCUCUAUGCUGGCCUGUGCCCGACGCUGGUCGGCAUGCUCCCUUACAGCACAUGCUACUACUUCAUGUACGAGACGAUCAAGACGUCUUACUGCCGUGCACAUAAGAAGAAGUCGUUGAGCCGCCCCGAGCUGCUGGUCAUCGGAGCUCUUUCAGGUCUGACGGCGAGCACGAUCAGCUUCCCUCUGGAAGUGGCGAGGAAGCGGCUGAUGGUCGGAGCCCUGCGAGGGAGAUGCCCGCCCAACAUGGUCGCGGCCUUGGCCGAGGUGGUCAAGGAGGAGGGCCUCAAGGGGCUGUUCCGCGGGUGGGCGGCGAGCUCCCUCAAGGUCAUGCCCACGUCCGGCGUCACCUGGGUGUUCUACGAGGCAUGCAAGGACAUCCUUCUGGCUCCACACCUAGCCUAG
rnacentral:rRNA from 1 species